GAGCCUGCGGCUUAAUUUGACUCAACACGGGGAAACUCACCAGGUCCAGACACAAUGAGGAUUGACAGAUUGAGAGCUCUUUCUUGAUUUUGUGGGUGGUGGUGCAUGGCCGUUCUUAGUUGGUGGAGUGAUUUGGCUGCUUAAUUGCGAUUACGAACGAGACCUUAACCUGCUAAAUAGCCUGUAUUGCUUUGGCAGUACGCUGGCUUCUUAGAGGGACUAUCGGCUCAAGCCCAUGGAAGUUGAGGCCAUUACAGGU
rnacentral:rRNA from 1 species